CUUAGGCGAAUGCUAUACUGUACGUA
rnacentral:piRNA from 1 species